UACGUAGGGUGCAAGCGUUGUCCGGAAUUAUUGGGCGUAAAGAGCGCGCAGGCGGUCGUACAAGUCGCGUGUGAAAGCCCCCGGCUCAACUGGGGAGGGUCACGCGAUACUGUUCGACUCGAAGGCAGGAGAGGGAAGCAGAAUUCCCGGUGUAGUGGUGAAAUGCGUAGAUAUCGGGAGGAAUACCAGUGGCGAAGGCGGCUUCCUGGCCUGUUCUUGACGCUGAGGCGCGAAAGCUAGGGUAGCAAACGGG
rnacentral:rRNA from 1 species